AUUGGAUUGAGAACAAUGUACAACUCUUAUCGAUAAGCCAUUGGAGGGCAAGUCUGGUGCCAGCAGCCGCGGUAAUUCCAGCUCCAAUAGCGUAUAUUAACGUUGUUGCAGUUAAAAAGCUCGUAGUUGAAGUGUGGGUGAUCGCUGUUGUGAGACUUCGGUCUCUCGACAGUAAGUCACCCCCUUCCAGUAUCCAGUAGUGGGUAUUCAGUUACUUACUAUUGUGUGUUGGUCCUUUACUGUGAGAAAAUUAGAGUGUUCAAAGCAGGCGUUUGCUUGAAUAGAUUAGCAUGGAAUAAUAAUUGAAGGCUUUCGUGUUCGAUUUGAUUGGUUUGUUCAUGGAAGCAAGGUUAAAAGGAACAGUUGGGGGUAU
rnacentral:rRNA from 1 species